rnacentral:snoRNA from 1 species
UGUGUGUGUGUGUGUGUGUGUUUAACUUGUGGACAGAGACUCAUACACAGGUACAAAAAAUAAAUCCUCUUUUGCAACUCAGAAUUCAUUGUUCAGUAUGAGUGUUGACACCUAUAAGUACGUAUAUG